rnacentral:rRNA from 1 species
UACAGAGGUCUCAAGCGUUGUUCGAAUUCAUUGGGCGUAAAGGGUGCGUAGGCGGCGCGGUAAGUCGGGUGUGAAAUCUCGGAGCUUAACUCCGAAACUGCAUUCGAUACUGCCGUGCUUGAGGACUGGAGAGGAGACUGGAAUUUACGGUGUAGCGGUGAAAUGCGCAGAUAUCGGGAGGAACACCAAUGGCGAAGGCAGCUCGCUGGGACGGUACUGACGCUGAGACGCGAAAGCGUGGGGAGCAAACAGG